UUAUAAUAUGUUUAAUUAUUUUUUUUGUUAUAAUAUAUAUAAUAGAAAUAACUUUUUUUUUAGUAUUUUUUAAAGAAUUAAUAAUUUUUAAUAUUUAUAGUUAAUUUUACUGUAUAGGAUAAUAAUAUAUAAAAAUGUUAAAGUAGAAUUUAUUUUUUGUACCUUUUGUAUCAGGGUUUAUUAAAUAUAAAUUAUCUAUUGAUAAUAUUCCCGAAUGUAAAAGAUUUAUUAAUUCUUGUUGUUUAAUGUAUUAAAAUUAUAAAUAAAGGAUUAAUAGUUGUUAUAUGCUAUUCAUUUUUAUAUAUCUGGUUUCUUAAUAAUUGAAUUUAAUUCAGAAUUAUUAAUUCCAAUAGAUCAAUUCAUUUUGGCUGUUAUUAAUAAUUUAAGAUUUAAAAGGAUAAGCUUUUAAAUAAUUUUCUAAAAUUUUAAUUUAUUUUAGGAUUGGUAGGAUUAGGAAUUUCCAUCAUUUAUUUUGUUAUAAUUAAUUCUGUUAUUUACUUUAUUUAUUUUAAAUUUAGGUUUUUAUUAAGAUUUAUUUUAUAAUGAAUAUUAAAUAGUAAUAAUGAUAAAAUUAGUAAUCUUGAAAAUUAAUAUAUAGUAAUUCGGCAAAUAUAUUCUUCACCUGUUUAACAAAAACAUGGCUUAAUGAUAUUUAUUUAUAUUAAGUUUGGCCUGCUCAAUGAUUUUUAAUUAAAUAGCCGCAGUAUUUUGACUGUGCGAAGGUAGCAUAAUCAUUUGUCUUUUAAUUGAAGGCUAGAAUGAAUGGUCGGAUGAGGGAAUAUCUUUCUUUAUAUUAAAAGAUAAAUUUAAUUUUUAGGUAAAAAAGCUUAAAUUUUUAAGUGGGACGAGAAGACCCUAUAGAAUUUUAUUUUUAUAUAAUUAUAAGUUUUUUUUGUUAAUUAUAAUUUUAAUUGUCUAGAAAUUUUGUUGGGGUGACAUUGAGAUUUAUAUAACUCUCAUAUAUUAAAAUAUUAUUUAUUUAUAUAUUUUUUAAUCCUUUAUUAUGGAAAUUAGAUUAAAUUACCUUAGGGAUAACAGCGUAAUUUUUUUGGAGAGUUCAUAUCGAUAAAAAAGUUUGCGACCUCGAUGUUGGAUUAAAAUUAGAAUUAAGUGCAGAUGCUUAAUUUCUAGGUCUGUUCGACCUUUAAAAUUUUACAUGAUCUGAGUUCAGACCGGCGUGAGCCAGGUCGGUUUCUAUCUUCUUAUUUAUAAUGUAAAUUAGUACGAAAGGACCCUUUACAUCAAAUAUUUUGUAUUAUUUUGAAUAUUUUU
rnacentral:rRNA from 1 species